rnacentral:lncRNA from 1 species
GAGAGAGAGAGAGAGAGAGAGAGUUUUUGGGUAUUGUAAAGCGGCUAAAUGUAUAAUAACGAUCUGCGUUUUUAUUUUGGACAGGAUUUCUAUGAGUCAGCCGAAUCAUCCUAUACAUAUGCGGGCCCCUACUUUAAAACCUAUUUUAGGAGGAUGUUGUUUUUAUUGGUGUUUGCAAAAUCGAACCGGAACGGUAAACCAUUCAUGGGCCUAGAAAUGAUUUAACCGGCUUAACUGGUAAAUCGGCCAAUUCAACCACUCUAACUGAGCAAGUUCCAAACGAUAAAAAAAAUAUUGAAAAUAAUAAAAAAAAUCUACUAAAAUAUGAAAAACAUAUAAAAAAUGUGAUUAAACAAAUGACAUUGAUAUGACGUUGAAAAUUAAUGAAAAAAAUGGAUUUUAACUAAUUGAUUUGUGUUUAUAGGUAUUUUUAAAAAAAUUUGAAAAAUAUGGGAAAAUAUAUAAGUGAUACAUAAUAACCAUUUUUUUUUUAAUCUUUAUCAUUAUGUAAAUAAUAUUCAAAUAGUGUUAAAAAAAAUCGACUUGACCAAAAUGAAUUCUUAAAAUAAAACACACUAACGGCGGGGAUUCAAAUCAUGAUUCAUAUAAAACUUAAUCAUCGAAGCUAACCAAUAAAUCAUUUUUAAUGUAUUUGAUAUAAAUUUAAAAUAAUAUUUUAUUUAAUGUUUAAAUUUUGGUUGAUCAUCAAAACCGCGCAAAACUGAAACUGGUUAGCUGUUAGAUCGGCUGGUUUUGCAAACACUAAUUUGUACAAAUGCUUAUGCCCUAAAUUACCUGUUAUUUUAGUAUUGAAAAAAAUUAAUGGUCUAAACAUUUUUUUGUAUUUAAUUAUACUUUAAAACUUCAAAAUUAAUGUAGAUCGAGUAGGUUAUGAGCACUUGGGAAUCUUGAAAAUUGACGGUCCAUAAAAUCCAUUACAUGUCAUACUAUUUCCAAUACUUGGAAUCCAUUUUUUCCUCACAUCUAUAUAUCUUGAGGUCGAGAUUAUCGAUUUGACAAUUUUUUGGUAUCAAAACAACCUCGUCUAGUGAAUUUUUGAGGUGCGCAUUAAUUUGAUGGUUUAGGGUCUCACACUUAUAUAAACUUUUUUCAUCUCAUAAAAUAAUUUAAAUCCAAAAUUUUAAGAAUUUAUUAUCUAGGUUAAGAUGAUCAUGAAUAUAAAAAUUUAAUAAAAUUUUUAUUUUUGGAGUAUAAUUUUUUAAAACAAUAAAUUUACACCAUCAAAAUACAUUUUAGCCUAAUGGGUUUUUUACAGCAUCCAUUUAUAAGAUGGACAUUAGUGAGUCAGCAGGAUCUUGUAUGGAGUAAGAAGAUCGAACCCAGAGAACUCAUGGUGGGCUUGACUUUAUUUGCCAAAUGGGUUAGCCUACCAUCUUGCAAUCCAAGUUGAAUCAUAGUGCCCACUAAUGACCAUAUGUUGCAUCAUUAUAACUUCUUGAAUGCCAAUCCCUUUAACGUAUCUUUUAUCUCUCUCUCCUAAAUAAGUCCCUCUCACAAUUUCUCUCUAUCAUCUCUCGUCUACAAUUCACAUAUUGAGUCACUUCUAAAGUUUCUAACCCAAAAUAUAUUUUUUUAAUGAUUUUCGGGUUUGAAAUCUAGUGGAUAUUUUGAUAAUUCACCUAGUAAAAUAUCUUUGUUUAUUGAGGAUUUCAUUUCAUUAACAUGCUUGUCUUUUUGUAUCUUUUAACAUCUCAAUUGAAGAGGUACUUCGGUGAAAGCCUAUAAGUGAAGUGGUUUUGAUGAAAUUAUAGUUGAUUGGAUCUUUUAGUUUUUUUUUUUUUGUUAAGGCGGGUUGACUGUUUUAUUGACAUUUUUAUAUUUAUUAAAUAAUAUUAAUUUUUUUAAAAUACAAAAUGUUCUUUGAGUUUGGGCCUAGAGAAGAGCAAGAAUAUUUAAUUCAUUGAGUUCGAGUGAAUUUAAGUGGAUGAAUACAAGUAAUUAUUAUUAUUUUUUAACAUCAAUAAAAUUUUAUUAAGAUACCCAUGUGAGAUGUACUAUUUUACAUUUUACACAGUAACUAUUCAAAAAUCAUGAUCAUGCGUCUUUUAUAGAUAUUUUGAAAUUAUCUAAAAUAAUAUCAGAAAAUAUAAAAUAGUGCAUAUAGCUAUUUGACAAAAUUAACUUAACAAAUUUAGAAGGAUGGUACUUUAAAGAUAAUGAUUUAAAAAACGACUAUUCUCUUAAAAAAAUGCUUAUAUAAGGUGUGAAAUCUUACACUAUAAAAGUUGGAUAUAUCUUAAAAAAACUGUUGAAAAGGUCGUCAUGUUGCUGAAAACACAAAAAAUAUUUAAAUAUUCAAAGUAACUCAUAUUGUAACACAUUAUUUAGUCAUUAUAUUAUCAAAAUUUUCAAAUAUUUAUAGAUCUACUUGAUCAGCAUAUUUUUCUUAGCCCUAAGUUUCAUAAUCACGAAAUAGAUUUUUAAGAAGUUUGCUUUAUAGGGGAUAUGCAACUUUUUAAAAUAUUUAAAUUAUAAAAUUAACUACCAUAUGGAUUUUCUAUAUAUGUGAUUUGACUAUGGUAAUGAUAUCUUACCUUAAACUAAGGAAAAAUAUCUCGAUAGGGUUGUAGACUUAUCAAAAUAUGUAAAUUCUCACCUCAAAAAAUUUGAAAAUUAUAGUUUGGGAUAAAAAAACCUUCACAUCAAUCAUAUCGACCUUAACCAUUGUAGUUGAAAAAAUAAAAGAAAAUCAAGCCUAAAAAGUUAAUAGGAAUAAUUUUACAUAGAGCUGGGUCUCUAAACCAUUAAAUUAGAGCGCAAGUUUCACUAUAAGAAGUUGUUUUGAUGCCCAAAUAUCUUCAAAUUGAUCAUCUCAACAUCAAGAUGCAUGGACAUGAGAUAAAAAUGGAUUUCAAGUAUUGAAAACAAUGCAUAUUGUAAUACAUUUUUUGACCAGUCACAUUUCAAGAUUUAAAAGUUUUUAUAGAUAUGCUCGAUCUACGCUGAUUUUUUUGCCUGAAAUUUUAUAAUUAGAUAUGAAAAUAUAUUUUAAGGCUAUCACAUAGAUUUCAAGCAUUGAAACCACAUUCAUAGAUACUAUUUGAAGGUGCACUUUACUUUGAUCGUUUAAAGCCUCGGCUCUAUACAAAACCGCACCCAAAAUAAUAUGGACACAAUUUCUAUGCAGUCAAGCCCGUAUGUGUAGAAAUGCGGAUCUCUUUAUAAAUCUAUUUUUGAAAUGGAUUUUAAGACCUAACUUUUAAGGACGUGUAAUAUCUAACAUCAAGAUCAUGAAUAUAAACAAAUAAAUAAAUUUAAAAAAUUAGAAAUAAUAAUUAUAGUAAAAAAACAUUUGGACCGUUAGUUUCCUUUGUUUUUCGAUGGAACACCCACUUGCAUCCAUCUUUAAGAUGGAUGCUUUACACUUUUGAACUGCGUAUGUAGAAAAACUGUCCAACCCCUAUGAAACAUUCUAUAUAAAAAUAUUCAUGGACGGCAUUUCCACAUAAGCAGUCGAGUGUAAAGCAUCCAUCUCAAGUAGGUGGCCAUAUAAAAACAAUGGAAACUAAUUGUCCAAAUGUUUUCUUAAUAAAAUUAUUAUUUUAUUUUAUUUAUUUAUCCAUAUUCAUGAUCUCCGUGUUAGAGAUGACAUAUCUUUAGAAAUUAAGUCAAAAAAUCCAUCUAAAAAAUAAAUUUUUAAAAUGAGCCACAUUUCUACAUGUGCAAGCUUAGCCCACAUGCUAACCGCGUCCAUAAUAUCUUAUCUACACCAUCUAUUCCUCCUUUCUCUCUUCCCUUUCAUGUUCCCAGGCUUUUCACUCUAGACCUAGAUUCUAUGUCCAUAUAUGUAAAAAUGUGGGCCUAUUAAUAAAUAUAUAUUUAAGAUGGAUUUUUGGAUUUAAUUUUUAAAUACACGUUAUAUCUUCUAUGGAGAUAUGAAAAAAUAAAUAAAUUUAAAAAACUAAAAAUAAUAAUUCUAAUACUAAAACAUUGGAACCGUUAGUUUCUACUCUUUUUUUAGAUGGAACCAUCCCUCUUUAAUAUGGAUGCUUUCCACUUUUUUUUGGACCGCAUAUGUAGUCAUGCGGUCCAGCCCACAUGAAACAAUUUGCCUUUCUCUCUAUUUCUACUUUUCCGGGUUGCUCUCAGUACUUUUUCCGUUUAGCCGACGGUUUGCGUGGCGGGCCAUUUCUUUCCACUUGCUCUUUCUACUUCUCUCUUUCUACUUCUCUCUUUCUCUCUCCAUUUUCCCCUCUCUCUCUCAUCAAAUCCACAACUCUCUGCGUCCCUUUCCAUGGUUCUCUCUCACUAGGGAAUGGUUUCUGGUGCUCCCGCGUUCUCAUCGUUGUUCAGCACCACUUUAUGGACUUGCCCAAUAAGAGAGAGAAACAGUUGGGCUUUUCCCCUAUUAAGUGAUAGAUCUCAGUUUCUCUCUCAUCUACUCUCUUCUGGACUUUUCUCUCUCGUCCCUGUUCAGGUUUGAAUCGGAAUCCACUGAUCUUUAAUAUCAACAGCUUAAAACUUGAAUUUUAGAAAUGGAGUUUAUAUUUGCUGGAAUGGGAUUCAAUUAAUGUAAUUAUCUAAAACUGGGGUUUAGGGUUUUAACAAUGGGUUCAAAAUCUUAGAGAGAUGUUAUCAAAGUUCUCUCUCUUGAAUUUUUUUUGUUUUAUUUUCAGUUACAAUGAAUUUCAAUUAUCACUGAUUGUUCGCGUUUUGAUCACAGAGUUAGAUAUAGAGGGGGAUUCUGAUAUAUUCGUCCGAAUUCCCCAUUAAUGGCAGCUACUACUAGUAACACCGUCGCCGUACAAGCUACAAAUGAUGACGCCUCUGCCAGUAAACUGUACGCAAUGUUCUCCAUCAUCUAUGGAAAUGUUCUCUUUCUAAAUUUUUUUAUUUUCCUUAAUACACAUAUACAUAUGUACAUGCCUUAUUGCUAUUCUAUCAUUGCAGUUACAGUUGUUAUAACUUUUACUGGCAAUAUCAAUCAAACUUUAUGUUUCUUUAUUUAUAAUGGUUAUCUAGAUUCCUCUGUUAAAGUUUAGCUUUGCAUAGUUGUAACAUGCAGGUGACUUUUAAUUUAUUGGAUUACUCUUAGGUUUAGAUGCAAAUUAUGCAGUGAUUAACUAAUAAGAGAAAAUUUCCAGGUAGAAAGUUGAUAUAUCCUAAGUAAUGUUAAGUCCUGAUUCAAUACCUUCUGAUCAACGCCUCAUUUGAGAUGAGCGGGGUUUUGGUUAAUUAGCUAUAUAUUUUUUUAUUCAGUUAAAAUUUUUUACUUUAAGGUGAUCAUAUUGGUUUUUAGUCAAAUAGAAGAGUUUUGUAUUUUGAAUUUAUAUACUGAAAUCCAUAGAACUAUCUAUGAUUGAAUUAGAGCACAAAUUAUUACUUCUACUUCUAGAUUACAGUCUAUAGCUUAGAUUGAGAAGUAUAAGCAUGAUGCACUUCACUGUGUUCUUCAUAUGCUCUUUUUGGAGUACCAUAGUAUUGUAUCAUCAUCAUCAUCAUCGUCAUCGUCAUCGUGUGAGCCUUAUCUGAACUAUUUGGGGUCGGCGAUGCGAAUGUUGUUCCCCCAUUUUACUUUAUCAAGGGCCAUAUCCUCAAUAAGACUAUAAGUCUUUAUACUUUUUCUCACUACUUACAUCCAUGUCCCUUUGAGCCUUCUCCUUGCCCUUUGAAAGCUUUCACUUGAACCAAAUUGUAUCUCCCAACCUAUGUUGUGUUAGGCUUACACUGCACAUGGCCAGCCCACCCAAGUCUACUUUCCCUCAUUUUAUCGCCUAUUGAAGUCACACCUCAAUUCCCUCGAAUUUACGCAUUCCAAAUUUUAUCCUUUCUUGUCUUGCCACUCAUACAUCUCAACAUCUUCAUCUCAACUGCACUUACCCUUUGUGUAUGUUGUUUUUUGACUGCCCAACAUUUUGUCCCAUAAAGCAUGACCGGUCUUACAGCUGUCCUAUAGAUCUUCCCCUUCAGUUUCAUUGGUAUGCGUAUGCGGCGAUCACAUAAAACUUCGGAUGCACAUCUCCACUUCCACCAUAGCAUUGUAUAUCAAGAUUAAAUUUGGAGUACUACAUUAGCAAUGAAGAUAGAACAAAUGAUAUUGCAGCCUAUUUUUAAAGUUAAUUGCCAUUACAGAAGGAAAGGGUCUUAGCAGAAAUGAGUGAGUGGGGUCUAUUAGAAGAUAACUCUAGUCUUUCCAAUCUUGAGUGGAAUAAGAGAUAGACAUUAAAAGAAGAAUAUAACAAGAUUCUAAGUUGGGAAAGAUUAGUUGGCUACAAAGAGCAAGGAUCAAAUUGUUGAAGGACAGUCAUUGGAAGAGAAGCGAUACUAUAGAGAUGAUCCAAUGUGGUGGCUGGUGUUUCUUGUACCCAACAUCAGUUUGGGCGGUAUCAGUUGGAUUCUCUAAGCAGUUAUAUCUUAAGGAGGAAUAGAUUAGACUGAAACUUGGUGGCCUUCACUUUUACAGCAUUCCAAGAAACAUAUGUUACAAGUGGAAAUAGGCCUUUUUUAGGAAGAAGAAAUCUAAGCAGCAUUGCUUAGUCUGGCGAAAGUUAGAGCCCCAGGACUCGGUGGCUUGCCCUUGGCAUUUUUCCAAGUAUUUUGGGAUAUGAUCAAUAACAAUCUCGUAGAGGUGAUGGGACAACUCUACCGAUGAGCCAAAGCAGCAAGUUUAUGAACCCCACAUUCAUCACAUUAGUUCCCAAAGGUGGAGGACCUGAAGGAGGCAAAGAAUAAUAGGUCCAUAAACUUGGAGGGGAUUUUGUAUGGUAUAAUUGGAAACGAACUCUCCUCCAGGCUUCAACAAGUUCUUGAAUUUGUAAUUACUCCAACUCAAGGGGCCUUUGAAAGGGGUUGGCAAAUGCUAGAUGGCACCCUUGCAGUCCAUGAAUGUCUCAAUUCAAGGACUAAGCAAGGAGCUACUAGCUAUUGUGCAAAAUUGACCUAGAAAUGUUGUAUGAUCAUUACAUAGGGAGUUUAUUGAUUAUAUGAUUACUAUUGUGGCAGAAUCUUUCAGCAGAUUAGUCAAUUGAUUAAGCCAUUACAUUGGAGUUGAUUCAUGGUUUUUGGCGGCCAUGGGAGGGCAUAUUGUUUCUCAAGAUCAUAAUGUUGAUGGGGCUUUGUUUUUUUUUUCAUGCCUUGGAUUCAAAUGGAGAGUCCUCAAAUCUCUUUAAGGUAUUUCGAGGCAGUUAGGGACUUUGCAUAAAUCUGCAUGCAGGAAGAAGCAUGCUGUAGAGAUUGACAAGUAUCGUUGGCUGUAUUGUUGGCUGUCCAACAACAUCCCUUCCUUGUUCGUAUUCAUGGUUAUUGCUAUGUGCGGGGAAACCAAAGGAAAUCCUAUGGGAUCCAGUAGUGGUAAGAAUAGAAAGGAAGCUUGCCUCUUGGAAGGGAACUUUCUCUCCUUGUGAGGUAGAAUUGUUCUGGUUAAACACACCCUCACAAAUGUUCUGGGCUAUUUUAGUUUUUAUAACAAAUACUGGUCUUUGUAGCUAACAAAUUGGAGAACUUACAAAUGAACUUCUCAAUCCACAAAUCUCAUUGAAAGAAUGCCCAUGAGAGGGUAGGGAUAGGGUGGCUUGUGAUUCACAAGUUCAGAAGGGGGCUGAAGGAGGAUGAAAAGGGGCAAUAAUAUCUGUGCUUAGUUUUCUAGAUCACAUAUAUAUGCCCUGGGUGAAGGGGAGAAGGUCUAGAGAAUUUGUCUUGGGAGAAUGGAGGAAAGUCUAUGGUGAGGUUGGGAACAAUGGGAAGUGUCUUCUCCCCUGCUUGGUUUGUUUGGAAGGUUUCGGUCCCGCCUAGAGUUUUCUUGCAUACUUGGAUAAAUUUAUCACUGUUGACCAUUUGUAGCUCCGUGAUUGGGUGAUGCCUGAGUUGGUUGCUGCUAUUUACUUUUUGUAAGUUGACUUCCUUGGGGAUUUUAUGGGGUGUUUGGAAAGAGAGGAAUAACCUCAUAUUGAAGGAGAAAAAGACUCCUACGAAGCACUUCAUGAGGGCAUUCAUAGAUAGAUAAUCCCUUGGGCAUUCAUUAGUUUCGCCUGAGUUCAAGGGUUUCCAAAUGGCAGACCUGUCAUGUAGUUGGAGGUAAGUGGCAUUAUCGAGCUCCAUAAUUCAAAAUGUGCAGGUGCUCUAGCAACACCCAGCCAUUGCCUCUUAUAAGUGAAACUUUGAUGGCUGCUCUUUGGCAACCUGAGACAGAUGGGCAUUUGUGGGGUGGUAAGAGACGACACAGGAAUGAUCUUAAGUCUUUUCAGGUCCCACAGGAGUGUGUAACUCUACUCUUGACGACACAAAGUCACUUCUUGAGGGCAUUGGAUACAUGAUGAGCCACUCAUGAAUGCCUCUGAUAGUAGAGGGAGAUUGCUGGAAUGCACUCAGAAGUGCAAGUUAGUUAGCUGUCCCCCAAAGGAGAGUUACCUACCUUAUAACGAAGUUAACCCCCCAUGUGAUGACAAACCAGUUCACUUUUAUAUUGUCCUCCGUUUUGCCAAUGAAAUGGCUGAUGCACUAGCUAAAGAGGGAGUUGGAUGUCCAUCACCAUUUGUUUGUUUUCUGGUUUCUUAGGCAGAUUUCAUCUUGGCAUCUCUAAUAAGAAAUGGAAAAUAAUGCUAUUCACUUAUCAGCACAACAACUGUUACCAUUCCUAAAAUUAGCUAUGAGUCUUUGUAAUGCGUUAUACGUUAAUUUGUAAAGCAAAAUAUAGGUUGUACAUAGUGUUUCCCUGACAACUCCACAUGAGGGCUGGUGUCAUGUUUCGACACGUCAAGACACUGCUGUGAAGAAAAGUAACAAAACUGCUCUUUGUAGAGCUUGAACUUGGGCCACUUUACUUAGAAACCCUGCGCUCUUAUGACUGCACCGAGCGUUCAUUUAGGAAAUAUAUAUACACAAUCUACUCUUGAUGACACAAAGUCACUUCUUGAGGGCAUUGGAUACAUGAUGAGCCACUCAUGAAUGCCUCUGAUAGUAGAGAUUGCUGGAAUGCACUCAGAAGUGCAAGUUAGUUAGCUGUCCCCCAAAGGAGAGUUACCUACCUUAUAAUGAAGUUAACGCCCCAUGUGAUGACAAACCAGUUCACUUUUAUAAUGUCCUUUGUACCGCCAAUGAAAUAGCUGAUGCACAAGCUAAAGAGGGAGUUGGAUGUCCAUCGCCGUUUGUUUGUUUUCUGGUUUCUUAGGCAGAUUUCAUUUUGGCAUCUCUAAUAAGAAAUGGAAAAUAAUGCUAGUCACUUACCAGCACAACAAAUGUUACCAUUCCUAAAAUUAGCUGUGUCUUUGGAAUGCGUUAUAUUGCCAUUAAUUUGUAAAGCAAAAUAUGGGUUGUACAUAGUGUUUCCCUGACAACUCCACAUGGGGGUUGGUGUCAUGUUUCGACACGUCAAGACACUGCUGUGAAGAAAAGUAACAAAACUGCUCUUUGUAGAGCUUGAACUUGGGACACUUUACUUAGAAACCGUGCACUCUUAUGACUGCACCGAGCGUUCAUAUAGGAAAUAUAUAUACAUAAUCUAAUGCAUAUUUUAUUUGAAAUAAUUAAAUUGCACAGAUAUUGAACAUGUCUUACCAUUUUGCUUUCAUAGGCCAAAGUAGGCACCUUAGACACAUGGUUAGCUAUCGAUGCUCGUAUUGGUGUCCAUUUAACAUUGGUUGCACUUGGAGUUUGGAUAUUUGCAAAUGGAAUUUGCUAUUUUAGCACAAUUCAUUGAAACUAAAAGGAAACAAACACACAUUGCAUGUGGUAUUAACCAUUCAAUAUAUAGUAUUCUAUAUGUUAUUUUGGAAAUUGCAUUGAGAGCUAAGCCUUUAAAUUUCUGAAUUUCUUGGUUUUUGUGGUGGGUAAGGGCUAGAGCCAUGAUGAUCAUCCAUGGAAAGCAAUUUUAGGAUUGAGUAGCUCUGGCUUAUUGAUAAUGUUUUGAUGAUGUGGUGGCUUUGUACAUUAGGCUUUGUCAGUUGGUGUAGUUCAAUAUCCCACUCAAAGGAAGUGAUAGUGUGUAAUAAUAUUAAGUCUAUGGUGCAGAGUCAGUGCUUUAGACAGAGAGAUUGAGUAGUAGUGGUAGGGCUGUAGGUUUUUGAGUGGGUUGGGAGGAUAAUUGUUUACUUUGGGAAGGGAUGCAAGAAGAUGAGGUAUUUGAUGAAUUUUGUAGAACAAACAGUACAGCGUUUCAGAUUUCUCAUUCAAUAGUUGAUUUUUGGUGGUUGUUUUUGGCAUUUCUUCUUAGUAAGAGAUGUUACAUUGCCCAAAUGAUCACCUGGUAGAGUUGCCGAGAAGGUUAGUGGAAGGCCUCUAUUCAUGGGAUGGCAGGUGGUAUUUCUUGGGUCCCUAGAGUUGCUUGAUUAGAUUUUGCUGUUCAAUUGUAAGUUCUUUGAAGAAGAGGCUUCCUUUUUCAUCAUCAUUUAUUGAAGAAGGAAACGCUGAAAAGUCUGUAAUUGUUCGAAGAGAUUUUUGUUUUGAGAUCUUUGGUGACAGGAGGUUAUUUCACACAUCAAGGUCAUGUGGCUUGGUAUUUGAAGUUUCUAGAGAGUAGAAACUCUAGUUUUAAAAUUUAUGCAUGAUGCAUGAAUGGAAGGAGAUAUGUUUUAUUAGAACAAUGAAUAUUUUUGUCUCUUCUGUUCAUUGGUUUAUAAGCGUGGACGUGUGCAUAUGCUGCGAAGAGUGCUUUCAUAAAGUCUUUUUGUCUUUUGUACAAGUCCUUGCCCCUCUUCUUGGCCUUACAUGUGUAUUAAUAAUUAAGCCUCGGUUUCUUGCCUCAUUCUUGCUCCAGGUCCCUUAUGUUAAACCCUUGGACUGUCCUUUCCAGUUAAUGGCUGAUAAAUGUCGUCCAUCUUGAUAUCUAACCAUUACUCUUCUUGUCCUUGCUCUAACAAAAAAUCUGGCAAGGCCCGUUCUUCCAAAUAAAAUAUUCCUGCUUUGCAAAGGGUUGUCAUCUAGAAGGUAGUCAACAUUAUAGGGAACUUUGGCAGCACCCAUGUCCUCCACAAAUACCAGGAAUAACUUCUGCUUCUUGCAUAACUCCUAAUAUUCUUCAAUUUCUCUACUUUUCUGCACUUCUCAUAGAAAAUAUGGAAAUUAGAUGCCUCUAUUGGGAAGAUAGUUGUUGAAUUUAUUUUUGAUGUUUAGCCAUUCAAAAUAUGCCACCAUGGAGAUGUUAGGACAACUAUUUAUCAGUGACAAGCCAAGUUGGAUUAAAUGUAUUUAUAAGAGUGAGAUAUAUUCUCUUGCACUAAUUAUGUAGUAUUCUAAUAAUUAUGCAAAACGUUAUGUGGUUUUGUGAUGGAUUGGCUGUUGUGAACUACUGUUGCGAUGUGAGUUUUUCUUUACUUUAUCAUAUUUAAAUGGUAGAUUAGAUUAUAGGGGUAUAUAACUUGGGCAUGGAGUGUAGAAUAGUAGUCCUUUUUUUUUGUUUUUUUUUUUUUGGCGCUUUCAUGUGGUAUUUGUUCUUUUAACAUUUAUUUAUGUUUGUCUCUCUUGGUCAUAAAAUUCCUUGGGGACUUGUCUUUUAUAUCAGUAUAUGUUAGCUUUCUUAGUUGAUUUACUUGAGAAAAUGUUAGCCAUGAUUAUUUAUUUCUACUUUACCUUUGUUGGAGGAACAUUGACACUAAAAUGUGCUAUCUCCCAUUUUCUGUUGGACCAGUUCUUGUGUUACUAAGGGUUACAUGAAGGACAAUUACAUCCGGCUUUUUGUGAGAAAACCUCUAAGAAGAUCCCCAAUAAUAAAUCGUGGUAUGGACAUUUGGCAUUCGGAAUGUCGCUUGCCAACUUUCUUAAGUUUGAAAAUCUUUUGUUGGAUACUAUUAUACCAUGGUCUGUGGAAUGCCAUGUACUGAUAAAAUGAAGUAUGGAACAUCAUAUUCCUUUGGGUCAUCACCGCCAUUGAAAUGAGUGAUGGUGGAGAGUGGGACCCACCAUUGGCGUCAUGUCUGGCAAUGACGCAAUGGACUAUGAUUUCUUUUCCAUAAUCAAUUAGAAUGUAAGUUAUGAUUGAUGAAACUGGUUUUAAGGUUACUAUGCACGUUGGGCUGCUCUCCGGAAAUUUCUCUUUCAAUUUCUCAAGUCUAGAGGACAAGAUGAUGAUGAAUGUGGCAUGAAGAAGCAAGUAGUUUCUCUUGGAGCUGGUUUUGAUACGACCUUCUUCCAGUUGCAGGUGUGUGAUGCUUUAAGUUUGCAUGAGCUUGACUAGGAUUUUUUUAUUGUUAAACUUCUGUCACUCUUUAAUUACUCUUCCUUUUACUGGGUGGAGCAAUUGGAGAAUUAUGGGGACUAUGAUCUUUUGAUUUGCAUUUUAAUUAGCUCAACGCUAUUGAUCCAAAACGUAAAAAAAAAAGAAGAAAGAAAAAAUAGUUAGCUCAAGACUAAUGAGUUUGAAUGGAGCAAGUUCUUUUGAAAAGUAUUCAACUUUUGAUUUCUGAAUGAGCGCCUCAUGUGAUACAUGAACUAAUUGGUGUUCUGUUGGAGUAAGCUAUCAUGUACAUUCACUCUAGGGAGAUACACACACACACAUAAAUACAGCAAACACUCACACGAUGAUCUAUAUUCUAUAUUUAAUACGAGAAAUUUGCUGAUAUUCAACUAAAUAUCUCUGUUCCUUAGGACGAGGGCAACGCACCUGACUUGUAUGUUGAAUUGGACUUUAAGGAGGUAUGUUGGGUGAUACAGUCAUGUUUUUUAUUUGUGUUUUUUUCACUGUAAUUCUGUAAUAAAUAAAGCACCAAAAUGUUCAUGAGGGAAAUUGUACUAUGAUCCAUUUAUGGAAAUCCAUUGCCUAUUGGGGUCAUCACUGUCCAAUGAAACAAUAGGGGUUGAUGGAAUGGUGGUGGGACCUACUAGAACAGGACAUAACCCCCGUUUUGUCCCACAUAAUCCCAAUUAAGGUGUCUCUCCCGUCUUCACCUUCAAUCAUUUGAUAACCCUAAUGAUCUAAAUCUUUCCUGGUCUAUUCAAUAAUAAUCUACUUUCUCUAUGCAGUGGGGGACAUACUUCUGUCUAGAUGUAUCAGUUGAAGUCCCUUUUGACCUUUCGAUUUUCUCCUUUCUAAACAACUGCACUAUUUGCCUAUUGUCUUUAUGUGCUCUGCAUGGUCUUUUUUCCUUGAAGGUGACCAGUAAGAAAGCAGCACUCAUAGAGUCCCACCAGCAGCUGAGGGAUAAAGUUGGACCAACAGCUGUAAUUUCACAAGGUGUUUAUGUUUCUAUAGUGAUUUAUUGCAAUGUUCUUUGCUCUGCUGGAUGUUUUUGUGAUAGAGUAGCAGCUGAAAGAGGUAGUCCCUAUAUAUCAUCAUGUAAAAGAGGUGGAAAACUAGGGUGAACUCAAAGGGAAUAUAUGAAUCGGUUAGAUGAGCACCACUACAAUUCCUGGGCAAUGACCAGGAAUGAGUUGUGGGGGCACUUUCAUAGGAACCUAUGCAAUCAUUGGAAUACAAUACGGGUGGCAAUUGGGUUGGGUCGACCUGAACUGGGUCCAGGUGUGGUCCAUGUUUUGGAACCGACCCUGGUAUAAAUAUAUGAAAUAAUAUAUAUAUAUAUAUUUGAAUUUCUAGACGCGGGUCUAGGUCAUGUCUGGGUAUGGGUGAAACCUAGUCGGGUCGACCCAGACCCAACCUCACCCGUUGUCACCUCUGGAAUGCAGUUGCAUGAAGCAAUUGCAUGGAGCAGUGUCCCAAAUAGUAGUAGUAGAUUGAACACUUCGUAUCCUUGUGCUCCAGGAACUAUAAAACUAAAUGUUGACAGUUGCUCCUGAGGCAACCUUGUACCAUUGAGUAUAGAGGGUGCUUUUUGGAACUUGGAUGAAACAAUGUGGUUGUGUUGUGUUGUUCUUUUUGGGGCAUAGAGGUGCUGCUGAUGCAUUAGAAGGAAAAACUCUGGUUCUCUUGACAUAUAUAAGACUACUCAACCACAAUUCGGACAAUGUUUCCACGAGCGCCAUUUCAUGUGCUAAAAAAGGGCAGAUCAUCCUUGGCAAUUCGAUAUGAUCUUCUAAGAAUCUGGGUGAAAGUUUCGAGCAUCAAAUCUGACUUCCAACACAUCUAUAGAGAAUCAAAAUUUUGGCAGAUACCCUGACACUUAAGGAGUUACUUAAUUAGCCAUUUUUAGUUGGUUUUUUUGUUAAUAUUUCCUCAUUUAUAUUCUUUUUGUAGACUUCUGAAAGUCCUUACGGGAUUGCACAUUUUUUAAUCAAAGGGUUUGGCAGAUAGCCUGGAACAUGAAGGAGUUACAUAAUUAGCUAUUUUUGUUGUUCAAUUUUGUUAAUAUUUCCUCAUUGACAUUCCUUUUGUAGACUUUGGAAAAUCCCUAUAUAUAUAUGUAUAUUGUAGACUUUGGAAAAUCCCUAUAUAUAUAUAUAUAUAUAUAUAUAUAUAUAUAUAUAUAUAUAUAUAUAGUGUGUGUGUGUGUUAGUUUAUUUUAUUUUAAUUAUAUAUACGUAGUAGUGUGUCGAUCUAUACUAAUAAAGUUAAAACGUAAAACGUANNNNNNNNNNNNNNNNNNNNNNNNNNNNNNNNNNNNNNNNNNNNNNNNNNNNNNNNNNNNNNNNNNNNNNNNNNNNNNNNNNNNNNNNNNNNNNNNNNNNNNNNNNNNNNNNNNNNNNNNNNNNNNNUUAUUAUUUAAGUUAUUACUUCUACUCUAUACUACUUCUUAGUAGUAGUAACGUACUACUAUAUAUAUAUAUAUAUAGUAGUAGUAAGUACUACUAUAUAUAUAUAUAUAUAUAUAUAUAUAUAUAUAUAUAGAUAUGUAUAUGUGUGUGUGUGUGUGAUUUUUAAAAUUUGAUAAAUCAAUGAUGGUGCAUCUCAUUAUUAAAAGAGAAAGCAAUACGGCAAACUUUACUUAAUAUGGUUUUACAUGCAAGUGGAUGUUUGUAUAUAACUUUGCCAAAUAAAGAUGUUCAUGUAUGCUCAAUAGAAGAUAGCAUGUUACUAAAGCAAACGUUAUCUUAUGUGUCUCAUGAUGUUGUUUUUUGGAUGUUGGUUUUAUGGUAAUUUACUACUAUGCUUUGUAAUUUAUUUUUUCUUUUAUGUUUUAUAUUGUGUGGACCCAUAGGUUUUACAUAUCCAAGGCUAUUAUUCUUUUUCACAUCUUUGUAAACACACUAUUUCUUGAACUUUGGCAUCUUGCUUCUUCAUAAAAAGAAAACUAUAUUUCAUUGGAGAAGAUAUGAAAGGAGAUUCUUGCGAUCUGGAGUGUGGAUUGUAUACCAUCAUUCACCAUGUGCAAGGCUUGGAGAAUCUAUUGUACAUAAAUGAUGGAACUUCUCUGCUUUGAUUUCCUUAUAGCUAGCUGAAAAUAUUUUUUUAGCACUCAGGUGCUGGAUGUUGCUCGUGUAAGGAGAUAAUAACCCUGAAAUCCAUGUUUUUCUCAUACCUUGGCCUUUUCUUUUUCUAAGUAGAUGACAACUCUACUCUCUUUUAAGCACAAGAGCUUCAGAACUUGAUGAAAUGUUCAAAUGCUUUCAACAAUUGACUAUAGUUUUAUGCAAUUAAUAGAAGUUUGAAACCUCUCCUCAUACUUUUACCAUUGUAUUAACACAAAAAGUUUUCCUUUAUUGUAGAGAGAGGGGAAGUAAUAGGUGAUCAUUACAAACUUCUUCCUGUGGAUUUGCGGGAUAUUCAGCAUUUGGAUGCCAUAGUAGAGCAGGCUUGUUUGGAUCCCAGGUGAGUUAUGGACUUCCUACAUUAUAAAGUCGAGUGUUCGGGGUAUAAUUUGUGAGCUAUAAUUUGUGAAACCAGUGAUUUAAAAACUCUAUGAAUCAGGCUCGGACUUGCCUGAGUCACUCGGACCCACAGGUUGUGAGAUUGGGAUAAAAAACCUCUGAGACUCACUGGAGUCUCACCGGUAAUGAAACCUCCUUUGUAAUUUUCACAGAGUUGGUCAAGUAGGAUCACUAAUUCAGGUCGAGACUUGGUCAAGUAGGACCGCUUCAAGUAGGACCGCUGAUUCAGGUUGAGACUUUGUUGAGUCUGGACCCAGUUUUAUAUCACUGUGUGAAGCCAAUGCUGAUAUGAAUUGAUAUUAAAAUGAGUGCUAUUUUCAUAGUUCUUAUUUUUCCUUUUGAUAGAAAAUAAAGAUCUUUAAUUUACUUCCUUUUUAGCAUGUUUUUACUUGCAUCUUCUUGCAUUAUGGAUUUGAGGCAUAGUAGAUGCCGUCUAUAGGGCUGCCCUGGAUCCAGGUUUCUAUCCUCCCCUCAGGUCUCGUGGUCUGGGUCUGGGGUGUUUGAACCAGACUGUGUUUAGGUUCAACCUUGAACCUAUUUAGGUCAGGUUCAGGGCAGGGGGGACUUGACCUGGCCCGACCAAGGGGGUCCAAGGUUGGACAUGCGUUGACCUUUUGGGUUACCACCUGGGUCUGGGAGGUUGGGUCUGAGACCGAUGCAGAUCCAGGUCCUAGUCCGGGUGGUUCUGGUCAGAGUCUACUUGACUUGGACUUAAACUCAUUGUCAGCCCUAGCAAUAUGUGCAUCAAUCCCAUGCAGCUAUUAUUGUUGAAAAUAUUGGCCUAUUUGUUGUUGAAAAAGAAAUUAGCCUAGUCUGUAUUCAUCAUACCCAUCAUCUUGAUAUUUUUCAUUUUCUUUCUGUCUAUUGUAUUUUGAUGUAAAGCAAUAAAGGUCUGGUUUUUUCAGUGUCUUAGCUAAACAUAAUUUCCUGAAAACUUUGGUAAUAAGAAUGACUUGAAUGAUUUGAGGUCUUGACGUAGCACUCUGAGCGUUGGCCAAGAACCUAACUCGUUUGCCAAACAGUUUGGUCCUCAAGUGGACCAGUUCAACUGGCCUGUUUUGUCUGGUUUUAAUAAAACCGUGUUUAAAUUUGUUACCACAGUUUUCUUUGUCGUUCCCCUUUCUUCUUUUUGUUGUUUAUGUUUCUUUCAUUCCCUCUCAUGAUUCAUGGCUCAUAGGACUCUCUGGAACUGAGAAAGCUUUUUUGUACUUUAUUUUUGUUUUCUCAUUCGUUGAUGAUUCAUUAGCUUUCCUUGAUACUUUUCAUUUCACAGGUUCUUUGUUGGGCACUGAGAACCUAACUCAUUCGUUGAUACUUUUCAUUUCCUUGGGAACUGAGAACCUAACUCAUUCGUUGAUGAUUCAUUAGCUUCUUUUUUUUUUCCCUCAUUCGUUGAUGAUUCAUUAGCUUUCCUUGGGAACUGAGAAUUCUUUUUUGUACUUUAUUUUUGUUUUUUGUCAUGAGGGAUGAAGGUGUUCUGAACAAAAUUCACCUUUGCUUUUUAUUAUACGCACACACAUUGAGAUGGUUUCGUGUAUUUCUUAUGGACUUACUAUUUUCACAUAUUCAAUAGAAUAAUUUUGUAUUGGUUAAAUGAUUAAGCAGCUUCAUUUUUAUUUUUGUCAUCAGCUUGCCGACCUUUAUAAUUGCAGAAUGUGUUUUGAUAUAUCUGGAUCCAGAUUCCACACGCGAUAUUGUUGCUUGGGCAUCAAAAAAAUUCCCAACUUCUGUGUUUUUCCUAUAUGAGCAGGUCAUUCUCAAAACUGUGUGCGCGUGAGAGAGAGAGAGAGAGAGAGAGAGAGAGAGAGAGUACGUGUAGUACGUAGGUAGUAGUUACGUUUAGUUUAUUUUACGUUUACUUUGUUUACGUUUUUACUUUACUUUAGUUUAGUUUAGUUUUAUUUAGUUUGUUACUNNNNNNNNNNNNNNNNNNNNCCUUACGCCCUUCGCGUUGCCGUCUCCGACCACACGAGAGAGAGAGAGAGAGAGAGAGAGAGAGUUUUCAGUUUGAAUUUUGCCUGAUCUUGGUAAAUGUGUUGGUUCUUUCUCCGUAUUUCCUUUGCCAUUGGUUUCCUUAUGGGAUUAGAACGCUAAUGUGGGUGGCUUCCUCCGAAGUUUUUUUGGGGAUUAAAACUCAACAUGGUUGGCUCCCUUUCCCAUGGUUUUCCAAGUCAGGUUUUAAUGUAUAAGCAUCAAAUAUUGUUAUCUUUACUUUACAUGAGUAGGAAUGAUAAUUUUUACAGUAUGCUCUCAACUUUUUGUUAUCCUUUAUUCAGGUAGUUGUUCUAUAUUCUGAAACUUGUGUACUCAUGAUGCUACUUUGAUUGUAUGAUCAUGCAACAAAUGUGUCUAGUACCCUCCCUCUCUCCAUUCAUCCCCCUCUAUAUGUGUGUGGGUGUGCACGUGCGCUCAUGUGCACAUACGUGUGCAUAAUAGUAGUUGUUAGGAACAUGAGUUGGAUCAUGUGUGCAGAGUCGAGGCUGUUCUCUACUGGGGAUUUAUGCCACUCCAACUUUGCAAGCGAAGGAAAAGCUCUUCACAGACAAUGGUUGGCAGGUGUCCCUUUUAUCUGAUAAUUUUUGUUGGAAACAAAUUCCAUGUGAUGUCAUAUUUGUGUAUUCUUUUUUGUUCCAUUGAAAUUUUUUUUUAAUAUAUAUUUGUGAAUAAAAAAAACUUUCACUAAAGGAGGAGAAUUCCAUACAUUAAUAAAAAAGGUAAAAAAAAAGAACGAGCAGAAUCCAAACCAUAGCAAAGGCAUAUUUUAUUCAUUGGUUUGGGUUUUUUUUUACAGAAAGCUGUUGCUUGGGAUAUGCAGAAGGUUUAUGGGAGCUUCAUCGACCCAGAAGAGCGGCGAAGGUAAGAGAUCAUCAUAAUCAUCGUUAUCAUCAUCAUAAGAGCCUUUUCUCAACUAUUUAGGCCUUACUCCUUAUCCUUUUUGAGCCUUCUACUUGAACCAAUUCGGAUCUCCUAACAGGUAUUGUAUUGGGUAUGUGUAUGGCUAGUCCACCAAGUCUACUUUAUCUCAUCUUAGCCUAUUGGAGCGACACUUAAGUUCUCUUGAAUGUAUUUAUUUCGAAUUCUAUCCCUUUUUGUCUUGCCACUCAUCCAUUUGAACAUCCUCAUCUCAACUACACAUCCUAUGAGUAUGUUGUUUCUUGACCGCCCAACAUUUCACCCCAUAAAGUAAAGCUGGACUCACAACUACUCUAUAGAACUUCUCCUUCAGCUUCAUUGGCAUUUGCGGCAAUCACUUAAAACUCUGGUUGCACGUCUCCACUUAGCCCACCCAACUUUAAUUCUAUGUACGACAUUUACCUCAAUCUAUCCAUUUUCCUAGAUUUUUUUGAGGAAAUUUUAACUUUCUAUUUUCUUAGAUUAUUGACCCAAGAUAUCGAAAGUGCGCUACUUGUGGUAUUUUUUGGCCGUCAAUCUUAACUACUGCCUCAUUUCUAAUUAUAUUAUUACUAAAGUUGCAUUUCAUAUACUCUGUCGUAGUCACGCUAAUUUUAAAACCUUUAGAUUCUAGAGCAUCCUUCCAAAGGUCUAACUUUGUGUUUGACAAUGCGAAGGUGAGAGAUGCAUAUGAAGUUUUCACAUUUAUCUUUUCCUUUCCUUCUUUCAUUUUCUCUGGCAUGCUCUUAAUCGUCUAAAUGCAUUUUUUUAGUAUUUUGUGUUUGUUUGUGUAUGUGUGCGUGUGCGUGUGUGUGUGUGGGUGGGGUCGGGUGGGGUGGGUGGGUGGGAGAGACCAUUAAUGUAGUGGUGUUAAUAACUCCAAAAAAGAAAAAGAAAAAAAUAUGAUGUUUAAAACCUGUGUCGGGUUUGCCAUUUACAUUAAAAACUUGCAUUGGUUUAUCUUGUGGACGCGCUUGUGCAUUAUGCUAUCAUGUGGGUUUCAAGCUAUUCUCUGGAACCUCCUCAACUGUGUGAUGUCAACAGUGGACGGCUGGGUAUGUCGUUCCUCUGCUGAGUCUGCUCAAAAUCUGUCGAGUUUUGUAGCAGAUUUUUAGCAAAGCAACAAGAAGCUCCGACCUUUCCUUGUAGACUGAUGCUUGAGGGGGUGCCAGGUGCCAGGAAACUGUUUGAAACCCAAAUGAUAGAAUGGAUGCUUAAAUAAUUCAACUACUGGUCUAUUGAUUCUUUUUGGAUGAGAAAACCAAACAUUGUAAUUCUCACAGUUCUCUUUCUUGUAUCAGGAUUGAGCGGCUAGAAAUUUUCGAUGAGUUUGAAGAGUGGAUCAUGAUGCAGGCAAGUUUACUUGCUCACACGUGGUCUUUAGAAUCUCUCUCUCUCUCUCUCCACACACACAUCCAACCUAAUUUUCAAUGAGUGGUAAGUGGCAUCAAGAUUUUUGUCAAUUCCUUAAUGGAACCUUAAUUCCUUUGAAUUUACUGAACAUUGUAUUUAUGCAUGUGUUGAGAGAGAGAGAGACUUUCCAAUUAUGCCAGCUAAGAGAGAGAGAGAGAGACUUCCCAAUUAUGCCAGCUAAGAGAGAGAGAGAGACUUCCCAAUUAUGCCAGUUUAGCUGAAAUCAGGUGUUUGUUUUUUUCUUUUUUAGGAGCACUACUGUGUGGCAGUAGCCAUUAAUGACACCAAGGUAAAAUCACCCUUCUCCACCCCCACCCCUUCUGACUCUCUCUCUUUCUCUCUCUUGAAGUUGCUAACAGGUCCGGUUUUUCUCUCAGGGCCCACUCCAUGACUUUAGCUUCCCUGAAAACCAGCAUGCGAGCCCAGUGCUUCACAGCGUAUAGGUUUGUUAUAUUGAAGUUCUUUUGACCAUUUUUGGGGAAAACAAAUCCUCCUUGGACUUCUCCGAGACCCUUUUUUUUUUUUUAAUCUUCUGUUUUUUAAACUUUUUCCUUUCUUUAAAUAUUUGAAUCGAGGGAAAAUUGGGAGUUCAUUGCAAUGGAUCUUGAAUUAAAAUUGUCUUGAAAAAAAGAAAGGAAAUUGUGUUUUAGAUGGUGUAAAUUUUGAAAAGUGGCCUAAUAUUUUGAAUGAAAAUUUUGAGAUUUAACAAUAUGCGGAGAACAAUCCUUGAGCAUCAUUUUUUAUCUUGCUGAGCUUUCUAUGUAUCUACAAACAUAAUUUACAACCGUCUAGAUACAACUAGAUUCAACUGCCUGAUAUUUGAUUAGAUGAUUGAGAGAGUAAAAACUUCAAUGGUUGGGAGUAAGUUGACAAUAAUCCACAUUUUUUUAGGGCCUGACAAAUACAAAUUAGUUCGAUCUUGUAAUGUUGUUUAGAGCUUACAAUUACUCUUAUCAACAACAUCUGAUGUCUGUUGGCCUCCAAAGCAUAUAUAAAUACAUAUAUCGUAUUUUGAGACAUUAUUAUUAUUAUUAUUAUUAUCGUGAAACCAUUUAUCUUUGUUACAAACAGGUUACAAUUAUUCAUAGUCAUUAGAUGUCAAAUUGGAUGGUUUAAAACCUUUCACGACGUUUGAAAAAGUUUUUUUUGAAUUUUGAGUCUAGUCAACGACAUUUUUACAACCAUUCGAUUUGAAAUUUGAUGGAUAAGAGUAAUUAUGACAUUUGAGAAUGAAAAGUAAAUGAUCUCUUUGAAUCAGUGUUUUAAAAAACGUCUAGUCGAACCGGACGAGUCCGGUUCGACUCGAAAAUCGCAAAAAGGGGAUCGUAUCGACUAAAAAAUCGGAAAUCGUCCGGUUCUAGAGAGAACCGGAUGAUUCUGUAUAGUGACUCGCCGAGUCAGUGUGCGGAAUCGGCGAGUCCGUGAAGAACACGGGUUGCACAGUAUUCUUUACGGGAUUCUUUGAAAUUUGUCAUUUUUUGAUCAUUUUUCUUGUUUUUUUUGGCAUGUGAUCUAAUUUGCAGGUUGUAAACAGCUUUAUUCAGCUUUUUCAAGGAUUAAAUGGUUGAAAAAUUUGGUGUUUUUGGAUCACGAAACUUGUUUUUUUAGGGUUUCCGCCUUUUCUGAAAGUUUCAUGCCAAAUAGGGUAUGAAUCUUUCAAAAUUUGUAGGCAUUUUGAUCGUAAAGCUGUGAAUCAAAAUUUUUUGUUACUAAUUUGUGAUAAUCGUUUAGAAAAACAGAGUUUUUUGGAGAUUGAAGGCUUCGGUUCACAAAAUCAGGUAAGAAGUUUGGGUUUUUUUUUUUUCGCCAUUUGAUUUAUUUUACGGCAUAUUUGGAACAUAAUGAGUUCAAUAAUUAGGGUUUUUAAUCUUUAUUGUGUCUAGUAUGAUUUAAAAUUUUCAAUUUUACGUAAUCUGGUCAAUUACAGCAUGAAAUUUGAGAUGAACACUGAGACGUCUGCGGAACCAAAAUUUCGCUGUUUUUUUUUUUUUCCGCCUUUUGAUUUUGUUUUCAUGAUAUAUUAGAAAUAAUGUGUUAAAAAUUUAGGGUUUUGAUUCCUUAUAUUUUUGUUUAUCAGAAAAUAUACUCAAUUGGAUGUAAUUUAUUCACUUAGAGGUGGAUUUUUGAGUUAAAAUCGCUUAUGUAAAAUGGCUUUGUGAAGAACAGAAUUUUUUUUUUUUUUUUUGUAAUCCAUGAUCGAAUGUUUUGUAAUACUUGAUUGAUUUUUUUGUAAUCCAUGAUCAAAUUGUUUUUUUUUGUUUUUUGUAAUCUUUGUUCUUUUUUUUUUUUGUAACCCAUGAUAGAAUUUUUUGUAAUCCAUGAUCGAAUUUUUUGUAAUCCAUGAUCGAAAUGUUUGUUUUUUUUUCUUGUAAUCCAUGAUCGAAUUUUAUUUUUUAUUUUUUAUUUUUGUAACCCAUGAUAGAAUUUUUUGUAAUCCAUGAUCGAAUGUUUUGUAAUCUAUGAUCCAAAUGUUUGUUUUUUUUUUUGUAAUCCAUGAUCGAAAUGUUNNNNNNNNNNNNNNNNNNNNNNNNNNNNNNNNNNNNNNNNNNNNNNNNNNNNNNNNNNNNNNNNNNNNNNNNNNNNNNNNNNNNNNNNNNNNNNNNNNNNNNNNNNNNNNNNNNNNNNNNNNNNNNNNNNNNNNNNNNNNNNNNNNNNNNNNNNNNNNNNNNNNNNNNNNNNNNNNNNNNNNNNNNNNNNNNNNNNNNNNNNNNNNNNNNNNNNNNNNNNNNNNNNNNNNNNNNNNNNNNNNNNNNNNNNNNNNNNNNNNNNNNNNNNNNNNNNNNNNNNNNNNNNNNNNNNNNNNNNNNNNNNNNNNNNNNNNNNNNNNNNNNNNNNNNNNNNNNNNNNNNNNNNNNNNNNNNNNNNNNNNNNNNNNNNNNNNNNNNNNNNNNNNNNNNNNNNNNNNNNNNNNNNNNNNNNNNNNNNNNNNNNNNNNNNNNNNNNNNNNNNNNNNNNNNNNNNNNNNNNNNNNNNNNNNNNNNNNNNNNNNNNNNNNNNNNNNNNNNNNNNNNNNNNNNNNNNNNNNNNNNNNNNNNNNNNNNNNNNNNNNNNNNNNNNNNNNNNNNNNNNNNNNNNNNNNNNNNNNNNNNNNNNNNNNNNNNNNNNNNNNNNNNNNNNNNNNNNNNNNNNNNNNNNNNNNNNNNNNNNNNNNNNNNNNNNNNNNNNNNNNNNNNNNNNNNNNNNNNNNNNNNNNNNNNNNNNNNNNNNNNNNNNNNNNNNNNNNNNNNNNNNNNNNNNNNNNNNNNNNNNNNNNNNNNNNNNNNNNNNNNNNNNNNNNNNNNNNNNNNNNNNNNNNNNNNNNNNNNNNNNNNNNNNNNNNNNNNNNNNNNNNNNNNNNNNNNNNNNNNNNNNNNNNNNNNNNNNNNNNNNNNNNNNNNNNNNNNNNNNNNNNNNNNNNNNNNNNNNNNNNNNNNNNNNNNNNNNNNNNNNNNNNNNNNNNNNNNNNNNNNNNNNNNNNNNNNNNNNNNNNNNNNNNNNNNNNNNNNNNNNNNNNNNNNNNNNNNNNNNNNCGAAUUUUUUGAACAUUUGUGAGUUUUUUUUUUUUAAUCCAUGAUCGAACUUUUUGAAAAUUUGUUAAUUUUUUUUUUAAUCCAUGAUCGAAUUUUUUGAAAAUUUGCUGUGCUUUUUUUUUUAUUUCUUUUUAUCCAUGAUCGAAUUUUUUGAAAAAUGAUGAUUUUCUGAAAAGAUGUGAAAAUCGUGAUAAAGUUUUGAUUAUCAUGAUGUAUUAAACCCAAUUUUUAAUUUUUAUUUUUUGAGUUUGCUGUAAUUUUUUUUUUUUUUUUCCAUGAUCGAAUUUUUUGAAAAAUGAUGAUUUUCCGAAAAGAUGUGAAAAUCGUGACAAGGUUUUAAUUAUCAUGAGGUAUUAAACCAUAUUUUAAAUUUUUAUUGUUAAAGUUUUUGUUAGAAAAAUUGUAUGUUGAUGGAUUAUUUAUGCAAAAAAAUGCAUGUUAUUAUAUUUUUAAUGCAAAACUGUAUUUUUUUAAUGCAAAACUGUAUUGUAAAAUGCACUAUUUCAGAGACUUAAAAAUCUUUUUAUUUUUCAUAGUCAUACAUUUCGAAGUCGAGAUGAUCAAUCAAAGGUUUUUCAAUCUUAAAACUACCUUUUCCCCAUGGAUUUUUGAGGGGCAUCCUUAGUUCUACAUAAUAAGGUAGCAUGUUUAUGUAAACUUUUUUCAUGUAAUAAAUGCCUCGUACUUGAAAAUAAGGGCUAUCUUAUAUAAGGUUGCCACCUUACACUAGUAAGGUGCACCUCUUUUUAAAAUAACAAUAAAUAUAUAAGCCAAAAGCUUUCAUGCUCCGGAGUGAGCAUAUUGUCCAUUUAUUCCUUAUGGCAAAGUAUUCUUUGGAUCUUAAAAUUUGGGGAUGUAACCUUUUCAAUCCAUAUGCUAGACUCCAUUAAAUAUUUUCAAAUUGUAUUAUCUAAAGGCUUGAAAAAAGUAAUGUCUCAAGAUCGAAUAGAAACGUUCUAAUUUUUAAAUGGUGAGAUUUGACUGUCACAAAAUUUAAAAUUUAAAUUUUUAUUUUGAAUUUAAUCAUACGAUGGUUUCCAAAGUUUUGGAUAAAAAAUUCUUCCCAAGUUAGUCGUCCGCCUUAGGGAGUAAGUAUAUGGUAUAUGCCCCUGCUGGAGCAUAAUAUAUUCGCUCAUUAUAUAAUGGUGCUAACCAUUUACAACCGAUUUAGCAUAUUGAUUGUGAUUUUCAAAGUGAUGCCUUUUUUUAUUCAAAAUAUUCCAUUAUUUUCCUCGAGGAUUUUCCAUUUUCCAUUGCUCUCGAUUAUUUUUUGACACUCGCUCCUUGUUUCGCCUAAUUAAUUUUCUACGAUUUUCCAUCAUAACGGACCGUUACCAUUACAUAACAUUGAUUCUUCUUCCCUCACCAUGAUUUAUGUUUUUUGAACAUUGAUUAUGACUUGAUUUGUGAUUUUCACAUUAGGGGAAGUAUUUUUUUGGCCAGUCUAAGAAGGCCGAACCUCAGAUCGUGUUGGAAAACUCAUUUUCGAUGCCGGAAGAAUUGUGAGUCUUGCAUUUCGGCCGCAACACUCAUGGAUAUGAAAAAAAUUUGUGAAGCUCUAAAAAGCAUUUAUCUUGUAGCACAUUUUCUAUAUUGUUUAUUUUUAAGUGUUGACAGAUUUUAUACAAUUUUAGAUCUUCAAAUUCUAUAAGCAAUAGUGAAAAUAGAUAUAGAACCAUCAUAAGGGUUUUUGGAGAGUAUCAUAAAGCCAUGGCCCAUCAAAAUGGCUUGGGGUGGCAAUGGGUCAGAUCCGAUUGGACCUGGACUUGGACACGAACCCGAACCUGAACCCGUCCGGUCCAAAAUUUGGACCAAUACUUGUACUUGUUGGGUCCUUGGUUUGGUUGGGUCCAUUGCCACUAUAUGACUAUGAGUUUUGUUUUUUUGCCUUUUUAUUUUACCAUCAUAUAUCCAUGUUAUUGACAACAAGGUCACAAUAGCCGUCAUUAGAUUUCAAGCGGUAUGAUUCAUUGUUUAAUAGCUAAAGAUAAUUACCAGUUCUUAUUAUAUACGAUAUUUAAUACACCCAAACAAAUAGGGUUUAAAGUAAAAUAUUUUAUCUGCAAUGGUUUAUGGGUAUGGGUCGGGACUUGACCCUGACCUAGACCCGACCCGUUAGGUCCAAAAAUUGGACCUUUACUUGGACCCAAGGUCGGGUCUAUCUGUUAGGUCUUGGGUCUAGUCGGGUCCACUGUGACCCCUAAAAAUGGCACACCUCCUUAUAUAUGCUUUACGAUUAUCGUUUUCCUAGCAAAACAUUAGUUACAAUUUUUUCAUGGGAAGGCCCGUUUAUUUUGUGGGCCUUGUGCAUAGCGGAGUUGUUGGCAUAUCCGACCUACAUGUGGGCUUGGGCCCCAAGGCCCAAUAUAUAGCCUUUUGGGCAUGGAAGGAAUAUGAAUGGGUGGCCAUGAUAUUCAAGUUGGAAUGUAUUAGACAUGGCCGUUCGUCUGAUUGGAAUGUAUUAGGCAAGGAACAAUCGUUCAAUUAACAGGAUAAAUUCGUCAAUUUUGGAGAGAGUACGAAAUUUGAUAGUUUUUUUGGUUGAACUUAGGACAUAGUGUUGUAAAUUGUCAAGUACUAAUCAAUUAAGCCUGACCUGUUUUUCUAAAAAAUUGUCUGAAGCGUAUUUUACCAAAAAAAAGAAAAAAAAAGUAGUUUAUGCUUUGAAAAAGAUUCACACAUCUCUCUCCAUAACUACGACUGAUGUUGUUCAAACAAUGACCUACUAUCGUCAUUUAUGUUGAUGUGGCUCAAUCUCUCUCGCUAGAGCUGGUUUUGGAUGUAGAUUCUAUACAUCCAAAACCAGUUCCAUGAAGAGGACCCCAGUCGUAAUCUUCCCUUUACAUAAAUCUACAUCCAAAACCAGCUCCAUGAGGAGGACCCCAGUCGUAAUCUUCCCUUUACAUUUCCAUAUAACUAAUUAGCUUAUGAAUGAUUUGUUUAGGGAGAGAGAGAGAGUGAGUGAGAGAAAAGGACUUCUUUUUCUGUGGUCGAGAAGUUUCAUUUCUUUUGUCAUAUUCAAGCAUAGAGAGAGAAGCUUUUGACAUAUACACGGCGAUGGGGAUGGGGAUGGGGAUGGGGUGUUGGUAUUCAGGGGAGCGGAUCCCUCAACGCACCCUCCCACUCUUCCUUCUUACUGAGACUCAGAAUUACUUACGCACAAGCUUUUUACAUUUCUCCUACAGCAUAAAAUGUUUAUGCCUCUUCGUAUCCAUUUGUCCAUUCUAAAUAGACGGCUUAGAUGACCCCAAUCACAAUGUCACCUUCUAUAUUGUUUUAUUUUUUAUUUUUUAUACAAUAUAUUUUGACACCAAAAUUUGAGCGUCCAAUCCUCUCUUGAACUCGCACCUAUAAAAAUAUUUAAAAUUUUUGUUCAAUAAAAUAAAAUGACUAACAUGCUCUUGAAGUUUUAGGGAUAUUUUGGUCAUUGUAUUUUAUCAUUUUUUUAAUAUUUUAUUUAGGUGCGCUCCAUUGAAGUGAUGACACAUAUUAAAUUUCAUAUUCAUACAGUUAGUAAAAAAAAAUAAAAAUAAAAAUAAUCCGAGGCGUCGGAUCUAAAUUAAAUGAUUAGUGGUUCACUUGAUCUAAAUUGGACAUCUGGAUGAAGAGGGAAGUAUAUAUCUUGUAUAUUGUAGGGAAAGCAUAGAAAUAUUUUCCAUUAUUUUAUAAUUUGAGUGUGUCACAAAAUUCAAGAUUUUAGUUUUUAACAAUUAAUCUUGAUCCAUGAAAUAAAUACAAUCACUUAAUCUUACAUCUAAUUGUCAAAAUUAAUUAUGACCACCUUGUAUCAAAGAUAUAUGAUCCCAUUAUAUACUUUUCCAACAAAAUAUACAUGGGGUUAAGCUUUCUCUCGAAAUUGAAGAAAGAAAGAGGGAGAUCAGCUUUUACUAUGUUCAUGCAGGACAUGUCACAUUGGGUUUUUCUGUAGGGUACUUUUGGUACGUGUGAAAAUACUUGUAUGAAAGUAUUUUCAUAUAAAAAAAUGUUCUUAUGUGAUUAGCUGUAGGAAUUUUUUUACAACAAUUGUCAAUUAAUGUGAAAAAAUAUACCGGGAUUAAUUGCCAUAGAAUUACAUGAACAUAUUUUUUUUCACAAAAGUAUCUUACCAAACAUGCCCUUGGAUUUUAGGGGUGAGAGAGAUGUUUUUCGAUAAGAGUACCAUCUUUUAACAUGUUCAUGCACGAUUGAUUACGUUUACACUGGCUUUUAAUUGAAGAGAGAGAUGUUAGAGAGAGAGAGACGUUUGUGGAUAAGAAUUCCAUGUAAUGGUUUUCCUCAUCUUUUAUGGGAAAGUUACAAUGGUUUUCCUCAUCGACAUAAUAAUACAUAUGCACUAUUUGGUAUAUGCAAGGGGCCCUUGUGGUCUCCAUCUUAAGGUUGACGCUAACGGCGGGAGAUCGAGAAUGGUAAAAGGCAAAGGGACGAGAAAAAGGAUGCUUUUCCGUCAAACUUUCCGUCUAAAGUGACCGCGGUACCUUAGAAAUAAAGUUUAGAGAGAGAAGACUCGGUGAGAAAAAAGAGUUAGAGAGAGAGAGCUUUUUAUAGAGAGAAGGAAAGCCCAAAUCAAACUUUCACCUUACCGCCCUUAGAAAUAAAGUUUAGAGAGAUAAAACUUGAUGAGAGAAAAGAGUUAGAGAGAGAAAGAGAGGGAGACAGAAAGGCGAGCCCAACGCAAAUUUCACCUUGGCCCGGGCUUUUUCACUUUUACCCAACUUUGGGAGCCCCCAAUUCAAGCAAAAUUUAGUGGAAUUUAUUCUCUCUCAUCAAAAUUUAUUCUCUCUCUAGAGUUAAUGGACAAGUCAUUGUUCUUUCUCUCUCUAAGAAAAAGAUGAGGAAAUUAGUAGAUCAGCACAAUAAAACUUUUUCCUUAGGCAUUAUGCUUCUCUCUCUUUACCUCGGCUCAUGUCAAAACGUAUGAGACUCUCUCUCCCCUCUUUUUCUCUCACUAAUCAGGGAACGGAUCCUUAUUAUCUUACUAGUGGGUAAUAAUGCUCUCUCUCUAAGUCCCAUGUGCAUUGAUGUCUCACCCUUUCUACAACUCUCUCUCUUAAAUUAAGGUCACUAUGUUUAUUAACAAUAUAGUAAUAAUUAUUUUUUUAAAAUUAUACAGUUAUACGACAUUCGUACACUUGUUAGGAAGUGUGAGCUAGUUUAAAUAAAAAGUUUGAAAAAAAACAAAAAGUAAAUACAAAAUAAUAUGAUUGAAAGUAGUAUGAAAAGAUAUAAACACUUAUAGUUUUAUUGAAAGUAUAACUAUUAAUAAAACAGAAUGAUGGACUAAGAUUUGUAUAAUCAAUCCUAAUUAAUUAAAAAAAAACUAUAAUAAUAUUGAAGAUAGUACGAUACAACACUGAAAAAGUUGUUCCAUACAAGUUAGAUCACAUUUUUACAUAUACAGUCUAGAUAGUGUAAAACAUCUAUUUUAAAAAUGAAUACAAGUAGGUUUUUCAUUUGAAAAUAAUGUCAAAUAUUUUUUUACUAUAAUUAUUAUUUUCAAUUUUUAAAAUUUAUUUAUUUUAUUAUAUUCAUGAUCUCCAUAUUAAAAAUUAUUUAUCUUCAAAAAUUAAUUAUUAAAAUCUAUAUAUUUAUUAAGAGGUCUACAUUUCUACAUAUCAGACUUGGACGCAUAAAAACCGGGUCCCACAAAGCUGACACUCUAAAACUAACGUACUCUCUCUCUCUCUAAAAUAACACACUCUCUCCACAACCAAUAUCCCUCUCUAUCUCUCUCUAAAACUAACAUGAAAAACACACUCUUUCUCUCUCUAAAACUAACCUUAAAAACACACUCUUUCUAUCUCUAAAGAUAGGGCCACUCUUAUGUUGGUGAAAAUGGCUGGAAAUGAGAAUAUGUGGAGGUUUCCUUUUUGAAAUUCUCGAUAAAGUUUCGGGAAACAAGGGGGGUGCGUAACAACUAUAAAUCAAUUUCAGUGGAAUUUUUUUGACUCUUUAGAGAGAGAGAGUGAGAGAUUUGUAAAUCAAUUUAGUGGAAUUUUAUAGUGAGAGAAAGAAGAAAGAAAGAGGGGGAGAAUUAUAGUUGGAUUUUUUGAGUGGUUGAGAGAGAAGAGAAGAGAGGAGAGAGAGAGAGAGAGUAGAAAGAGAAAAAGUUGGGAUUGGAUGGGACUGGGAUUCACUCUCAUCGGCUCUUAAAAAUCCACCUACUUCGCACCGCACACUCUCUCUCUCUUCUCUGGUUUUCGCCACCUCUUUCAUCUCUCUUUUUGGAGAUUUCUCUCGCUCCACUAUCAGAUCUCGGCCACCACGUUUAGCAGUGUCGAUACCCCAAUUCGCCACCAAAAUUAGCGGCAAUUUCCUCAAUCGCUACGAAAUUUAGCGGCGCAAAAGUAAAUCCACCACAAAAAAUACCAUUUGCAACCCCUUUCCCCCACCAAAUUUAGCGGCGCCACUAAACGGUCCGUUACUUCCUCCCGCCCACCACCAGAAACCCCCACUUCUACCUCUUCGCCCGUCCCCNNN